rnacentral:rRNA from 1 species
UACGAAGGGGGCUAGCGUUGCUCGGAAUCACUGGGCGUAAAGCGCACGUAGGCGGCUUACUAAGUCAGGGGUGAAAUCCUGGAGCUCAACUCCAGAACUGCCUUUGAUACUGGUGAGCUUGAGUCCGGAAGAGGUGAGUGGAACUGCGAGUGUAGAGGUGAAAUUCGUAGAUAUUGGGAAGAACACCGGUGGCGAAGGCGGCUCACUGGCUCAUUACUGACGCUCAGGCGCGAUAGCGUGGGGAUCAAACAGG